rnacentral:rRNA from 1 species
UACGUAGGGUGCGAGCGUUGUCCGGAAUUACUGGGCGUAAAGAGCUCGUAGGUGGUUUGUCGCGUUGUCCGUGAAAACUCACAACUCAAUUGUGGGCGUGCGGGCGAUACGGGCAGACUGGAGUACUGCAGGGGAGACUGGAAUUCCUGGUGUAGCAGUGAAAUGCGUAGAUAUCAGGAGGAACACCGGUGGCGAAGGCGGUUCUCUGGGCCUUACCUGACGCUGAGGAGCGAAAGCGUGGGGAGCAAACAGG